UACGGGGGGGGCAAGCGUUAUUCGGAAUUAUUGGGCUUAAAGGGUGCGUAGGCUGUGCAGUAAGUUGGGUGUGAAAUCCCUCGGCUCAACCGAGGAACUGCGCCGAAUACUGCUGUGCUAGAGGAAGAUAGGGGUAAGCGGAACUGAUGGUGGAGCGGUGAAAUGCGUUGAUAUCAUCAGGAACACCGGUGGCGAAGGCGGCUUACUGGUCCGGUACUGACGCUGAGGUGCGAAAGCGUGGGGAGCAAACAGG
rnacentral:rRNA from 1 species